rnacentral:rRNA from 1 species
AGCAGCCGCCACGGGAAUACGAAGGGGGCUAGCGUUGCUCGGAAUUACUGGGCGUAAAGGGAGCGUAGGCGGGUCGUUUAGUCAGAGGUGAAAUCCCGGGGCUCAACCUCGGAACUGCCUUUGAUACUGGCGACCUUGAGUAUGGGAGAGGUGAGUGGAACUCCGAGUGUAGAGGUGAAAUUCGUAGAUAUUCGGAAGAACACCAGUGGCGAAAGCGACUCACUGGCCCAUUACUGACGCUGAGGCUCGAAAGCGUGGGGAGCAAACAGGAUUAGAUACCCGAGUAGUCCCUGUCUCUUAUAC